AUUUAAAUACCUAAUCCCAACCAUUUAUUCCAAAAGUUGGCAAUCACAAAAACUUUGCUUUUUAAAUAGUCAGUGGUCACUUGGGAGCUUGAGCUAGGGAAAAAUGAGCUUUAAAUGUUGAUUUCAGUUACUUCCCAAAUUAUGCUGGAUUUGGUGGCUAAUGACUUUAAAUUUGCUUACACUGGCACUUCCUCAGCCCACGAGACAUAAUCCCUGGCCUGAACUCAAAGUCAUGUCCCUGUGAAGAAGGACAGUUACCAGGCAAAGCUGAUAGAGAUCUAGCUAAGAACCAAGUGUUGUUCCUCCAAAAUUGAGGGGUGAAAUAGUUACGUUGUUUCCAGAAACAUUCAUUAUAACUAAACCUAAAAUACCUGAAAUUUAUAUAUUUGUUUGCGAAUACAGAGAGGUAUAGAGAGACAUGGGGUUAGGGGAGAGACGAGAGGGAAGAAAAAGGGUACAAAAACAAACAAACAAACAAACAAACAAACAGAACCAAAAACAAAAAAAUAAUCCCAAAUGAGAAACUUGAAUAAAGACAAUGACUGUACUUCAUUCGACAGUCAUUUUUGGUACAUUUGUGUAUCAUAUGGCCAGGGUCUCUUGCUGCAUGCACUCAUAGUCAUUCAGUUGUAUCAAGUGCCACUUGAAAACCUCCUAGGUGAUGGUUUCUCCUUUCCAUGCAAAACCAAACUACACUUGAAGCUUCCCCUGUGUCUGGCUUCAAAGGCAAGAUGCCUUUGCUCCCUGUGAAAAAUACUCAUUUAAACUGAAUUCAGGCUAAGUGUGGGAUAAGCAGAAAGAUUUGCUUUUUCUCUAAUGGCCCUUCAGAAUACAUUGGUUGGCAAACAGAUUGGAACAAAAUGUCCUUAGACUUUAAUUGUCCUUCAACCCUAUUCAUAUUUUCCACCUUUCAGCUGUCAUAGCCUUUCUUCCUGUCAAUAUUAUAACAUAGCUUUUGACAGUGAAAGAAAGUGUGCAGUGUGUAACAAUUAAGUCUGUUGUGUUUUUAUUCCAUUCCUUUUCCACAUUGUGUACUGCUCUUUUCCUAGCCACCUAAGACUCCAGGUUUACCAUUUACCCUAUCUCAAGUUCAUCUUAAAGAUCCACAAGAAGACAGAGAAAACAUGCCCAUCUACUUCAGAUAUAUAAUACCAAGUCC
rnacentral:lncRNA from 1 species